AACGUAGGAGACGAACGUUAUCCGGAGUUACUGGGCGUAAAGGGCGCGUAGGCGGGAUGGCAAGUCGGUCGUGAAAUCCCUCGGCUCAACUGAGGAUCGUCGAUCGAUACUGCCGUUCUUGAGGAUUGCAGAGGAGACUGGAAUUCCCGGUGUAGCGGUGAAAUGUGUAGAGAUCGGGAGGAACACCGGUGGCGAAGGCGGGUCUCUGGGCCGAUACUGACGCUGAGGAGCGAAAGCGUGGGGAGCGAACAGG
rnacentral:rRNA from 1 species